rnacentral:rRNA from 1 species
GUAGUUAGCCGGAGCUUCCUCGUAGGGUACCGUCAUCUACUCGUCCCCUACAACAGAGGUUUACGAUCCGAAAACCUUCUUCCCUCACGCGGCGUUGCUGGGUCAGGCUUUCGCCCAUUGCCCAAUAUUCCCCACUGCUGCCUCCCGUAGGAGUCUGGACCGUUUCUCAGUUCCAAUGUGGCCGGUCAUCCUCUCAGAUCGGCUACCCAUCGUUGACUUGGUGGGCCGUUACCUCACCAACUAUCUAACUGGGACGCGAGCUCACCCUUCCGCGGAUUCCUCCUUUGACCCCUUCGGCAUGUGCCGCUGUGGUCUCAUGCGGUAUUAGCAACUGUUUCCAGUUGUUAUCCCCCUCGGAAGGACAGAUUGCUCACGCGUUACGCACCCGUCCGACCACUAAGUACAAAACCGAAAUUCUGUACUCCGUUCGACUUGCAUGUGUUAGGCACGCCGCCAGCGUNUCUNAGCACGAUCAACUACUGA